UCUCUCUCUCUCUCUCUCUCUCUGUCUCUCUCUCUCUCUGAAGCUCGAUUGAAUCAGAUUCACAAAGAUAUGAAGACAACCCCCAUUACCGCAGCCUUCAUCCGCAGCCACCACUGCUGUAAUCCACUGUUGCAACCUCUACACUCCACCAACGCCGCCACCUCCACCGAUCGGCACCAACAUUUGCCCCAUCAAGAGCUUGGACUAUAAGGUUCUGUAAAUCUUGUACGGGAUGCCACCUGCUGGCAGUGUGACCAUGAGUGGCGGCAGGAUAUUGCUGUCGUCACAAAGUAGUUGUCAGGGAUGUCUCCGAUUGCAGGGUGUACGGUUGCUCUACUGGUAGUGGUGGCUACUCUACUGGCAGCAGUGUCGUUCUACUUUGUGAUUUUGAUUAUUAUUGUUGUUAUUUUCUUAAAGCAAGAUUCUCACUUGAAAUUCAUUCCACCAACAAAUCCAUUGUAAAUAGGGAAUUAUAGUAGGGAAAUCCCCAUUCCAAGAACUCUUUAAUUUUUCUUGAAUGCUGUUGAUUUCUUGAUGUAAUUGGACCUAAUAACUCUUUGGAAUGAUUCCAUAAAGCAUUUGAUAUAUGUGACAAAGUUGAAUUUUAUUUUAUGAAGCUUUUAGAUGUUUGAUCUUGAAACAAAAACAUAAAAACUGGAUAUGACUCUGUUGGAUUUAGAACUCCGUGCAUCAAAACAGCCUUUAUCUUGUUAACAAGCUUCGAAUAAAGAAAAUGGGAAAAAAGAGAGAAAAUGACAAUUCCUUAGUGACUAUAUGUGUGAUGUUCGUUUGAUAGGCUUCUUCUCUAAACCUUAACUUGGAUUUGUUGUGAAAUAAUCUGAACUGAUCAGGUGAUCAUACAAA